CGCCUCUAAGUCAGAAUCC
rnacentral:ncRNA from 2 species